rfam:Picea glauca, whole genome shotgun sequence.
GAGGUAGGCCCUGUGUACAGCACUAUGCAUGUGCAUAUUCGCUGAAGGGGGCUUUGCAAAAUCAAUUUUGGGCGAAUGGGCAGUCAACUUUUAAUGUUAAUUAAUUCGUUGACAAUCAUUUUCCCAACAUUC